UGCUGGUUGGCAUUCCUUUUCGAACUCGAAGCGGUCGUCGACGGUUGGUGUCGUGUGCUACAGCUACAGCUCCAGUAGUCAAUCGUGCUGGGUGCUCUCGACAGACCUCAGUAGCUACGUACAUACGGUACACCCGCUGCUGCCCGUUUUUCGGUUCUGCGAUGGCUGCUGGCUGUUCCCCUUCUUCACUGGCAUCAGAAUCGAUGGCAUGUGAAUACAGAUAAACGAUCGGAUUCGCUGACUUUUUGGUUCAACAAAUCAAAGAUCGUUUCAAGCAAUAAUUAUGACCCAGACGUGAUUCUUGACUGUGGAGAAAAGGACUAAAGUUAUAUAGAUUAGCUGUUGUCCGUAAAUUGUAUUUUGUUAAUUUGUUGUUGGAGUAAGAAUCAUUUCUGAUGCACGAAACUUUGGCUGUUUUCUAUCUUUCCAUUUCUUAAGUGCUUUGUUGCUGCAGUGUUUCAAAAGCUAAUUGUGACGAAGAUAUGAUAUGUGGACCUCAAAUGUAUAGAACUGCGUAAUAACUUUAUAACUCUUUGGGGUUUAGAAGAGGUGUUUGAUUCAGAAUAAACAGGGAGCUUUGAGGGUGGCCCGCAAUUAUGUCUAAAAACAGCAUCACAAGUGAACAAAGAUUGAACGAAGUGCUUUAAAAUGAACAUUACAGCUCUAAGAAUGACUUUAGAAAAUAUUUAAAAACGCCC